rnacentral:lncRNA from 1 species
UCAUUUUCUUCCCUCCAGGAUCGUGGGAACAAUAUCCCAGGGGGGUGUACCCUUUCUGCCAUAUAUGUAGUCACAUCACCCACUCUGCCUUGGAAUAUUAUUAAGGACCACCUAACACGAGGGUGUAUACGUCCUGUGAUAUUACGAGUAAUAUCAACUUCUCGGCCUCUGAAUAUGAGGAAGAAUAUCACAGGGAUAUUAAUAACAAUUUCACAGGCUGGGUGAACACAGCCGGCGAUGCUGACAUUAUCAUCAUCCUCUCCCCCUCUUCCCCUCCUGGCUCUCAGUCCCCGCCUCACGGGUUAUGUAGCGGGUUAUGGCAAGAAGACAAACUGCAGUCUCCUGCACAGAACAGCACAAACAAUGAUCCAAGCUCAGUUACAACACAAUAUUGGUCAUCAUUUGACCAUGGACUUCAUAUCAACCCUUAGAAAUGUUCCUAAAACAGUCUUAGAAUCUCAAGUGACU